rnacentral:rRNA from 1 species
AAAAAAGGUAAGCUACUAAGAGCGAAUGGUGGAUGCCUUGACUGGUAAAGGCGAUGAAGGACGUACUAGACUGCGAUAAGCUACGGGGAGCUGUCAAGAAGCUUUGAUCCGUAGAUUUCCGAAUGGGGCAACCCAAUGUAUAGAGAUAUACAUUACCUAUAUAGGAGCGAACGAGGGGAAUUGAAACAUCUUAGUACCCUCAGGAAAAGAAAUCAAUAGAGAUUGCGUCAGUAGCGGCGAGCGAAAGCGUAAGAGGGCAAACCCAGUGCUUGCACUGGGGGUUGUAGGACUGCAAUGUGCAAGAGGUGAGUUUAGCAGAACAUUCUGGAAAGUAUAGCCAUAGAGGGUGAUAGUCCCGUAUGCGAAAAACAAACCUUAGCUAGCAGUAUCCUGAGUAGGGCGGGACACGAGAAAUCCUGUCUGAAGCUGGGUCGACCACGAUCCAACCCUAAAUACUAAUACCAGAUCGAUAGUGCACAAGUACCGUGAGGGAAAGGUGAAAAGAACUGAGGUGAUCAGAGUGAAAUAGAACCUGAAACCAUUUGCUUACAAUCAUUCAGAGCACUAUGUAGCAAUACAGUGUGAUGGACUGCCUUUUGCAUAAUGAGCCUGCGAGUUGUGGUGUCUGGCAAGGUUAAGCAAACGCGAAGCCGUAGCGAAAGCGAGUCUGAAUAGGGCGCUUAGUCAGAUGCUGCAGACCCGAAACGAAGUGAUCUAUCCAUGAGCAAGUUGAAGCUAGUGUAAGAACUAGUGGAGGACUGAACCCAUAGGCGUUGAAAAGCCCCGGGAUGACUUGUGGAUAGGGGUGAAAGGCCAAUCAAACUUCGUGAUAGCUGGUUCUCUCCGAAAUAUAUUUAGGUAUAGCGUUGUGUCGUAAUAUAAGGGGGUAGAGCACUGAAUGGGCUAGGGCAUACACCAAUGUACCAAACCCUAUCAAACUCCGAAUACCUUAUAUGUAAUCACAGCAGUCAGGCGGCGAGUGAUAAAAUCCGUCGUCAAGAGGGAAACAACCCAGACUACCAGCUAAGGUCCCUAAAUCUUACUUAAGUGGAAAACGAUGUGAAGUUACUUAAACAACCAGGAGGUUGGCUUAGAAGCAGCCAUCCUUUAAAGAAAGCGUAAUAGCUCACUGGUCUAGUGAUUUUGCGCGGAAAAUAUAACGGGGCUAAAGUAAGUACCGAAGCUGUAGACUUGAUUUUAUCAAGUGGUAGGAGAGCGUUCUAUUUGCGUCGAAGGUAUACCGGUAAGGAGUGCUGGAGCGAAUAGAAGUGAGCAUGCAGGCAUGAGUAGCGAUAAUUAAUGUGAGAAUCAUUAACGCCGUAAACCCAAGGUUUCCUACGCGAUGCUCGUCAUCGUAGGGUUAGUCGGGUCCUAAGUCGAGUCCGAAAGGGGUAGACGAUGGCAAAUUGGUUAAUAUUCCAAUACCAACAUUAGUGUGCGAUGGAAGGACGCUUAGGGCUAAGGGGGCUAGCGGAUGGAAGUGCUAGUCUAAGGUCGUAGGAGGUUAUACAGGCAAAUCCGUAUAACAAUACUCCGAGAACUGAAAGGCUUUUUGAAGUCUUCGGAUGGAUAGAAGAACCCCUGAUGCCAUCGAGCCAAGAAAAGUUUCUAAGUUUAGCUAAUGUUGCCCGUACCGUAAACCGACACAGGUGGGUGGGAUGAGUAUUCUAAGGCGCGUGGAAGAACUCUCUUUAAGGAACUCUGCAAAAUAGCACCGUAUCUUCGGUAUAAGGUGUGGUUAGCUUUGUAUUAGGAUUUACUCCGAAAGCAAGGAAACUUACAACAAAGAGUCCCUCCCGACUGUUUACCAAAAACACAGCACUCUGCUAACUCGUAAGAGGAUGUAUAGGGUGUGACGCCUGCCCGGUGCUCGAAGGUUAAUUGAUGGGGUUAGCAUUAGCGAAGCUCUUGAUCGAAGCCCGAGUAAACGGCGGCCGUAACUAUAACGGUCCUAAGGUAGCGAAAUUCCUUGUCGGUUAAAUACCGACCUGCAUGAAUGGCGUAACGAGAUGGGAGCUGUCUCAAAGAGGGAUCCAGUGAAAUUGUAGUGGAGGUGAAAAUUCCUCCUACCCGCGGCAAGACGGAAAGACCCCGUGGACCUUUACUACAGCUUGACACUGCUAUUUGGAUAAGAAUGUGCAGGAUAGGUGGGAGGCUUUGAGUAUAUGACGCCAGUUGUAUAUGAGCCAUUGUUGAGAUACCACUCUUUCUUAUUUGGGUAGCUAACCAGCUUGAGUUAUCCUCAAGUGGGACAAUGUCUGGUGGGUAGUUUGACUGGGGCGGUCGCCUCCCAAAUAAUAACGGAGGCUUACAAAGGUUGGCUCAGAACGGUUGGAAAUCGUUCGUAGAGUAUAAAGGUAUAAGCCAGCUUAACUGCAAGACAUACAAGUCAAGCAGAGACGAAAGUCGGUCUUAGUGAUCCGGUGGUUCUGUGUGGAAGGGCCAUCGCUCAAAGGAUAAAAGGUACCCCGGGGAUAACAGGCUGAUCUCCCCCAAGAGCUCACAUCGACGGGGAGGUUUGGCACCUCGAUGUCGGCUCAUCGCAUCCUGGGGCUGGAGCAGGUCCCAAGGGUAUGGCUGUUCGCCAUUUAAAGCGGUACGCGAGCUGGGUUCAGAACGUCGUGAGACAGUUCGGUCCCUAUCUGCCGUGGGCGUAAGAAGAUUGAAGAGAUUUGACCCUAGUACGAGAGGACCGGGUUGAACAAACCACUGGUGUAGCUGUUGUUCUGCCAAGAGCAUCGCAGCGUAGCUAAGUUUGGAAAGGAUAAACGCUGAAAGCAUCUAAGCGUGAAGCCAACUCUAAGAUGAAUCUUCUCUAAGCUCUCUAGAAGACUACUAGUUUGAUAGGCUGGGUGUGUAAUGGAUGAAAGUCCUUUAGCUGACCAGUACUAAUAGAGCGUUUGGCUUAUCUUUAAUAAAGCAU